UCUGGAUCUUUAAUUGGAUGUGCCCUGCAAACCAAAAGGAAGGUACCAAAGGGGCUCAAGCAUCUGGAUUCAACAGAAAGUCGGACCCAGCGGAGAGGGGAAAAAAAAAAGGAGAGAAAGUGAAGCUGCUCAUCGACCCUCCGUCAUCGACAAGAGCUUCCGAGGGGGGGACAGCGAAGCCGAAUCCCCACACGUUUUUGUGACAGAUUCCAGGUGGGACAGAAGACACCUGUCUCAGUUAAAGUAGCGGGAAAAGAAGAGGAUGGAGGCAAGAGGAAAGCAAGACCAAAACAGGAGGACAGGCAUGCCUGUGUGCUUUUCAACGAAACACACCGGUGCUCCAUCAUUCCCUGCGCCGUGGAAUGGUGCAGUCACAAACAGGCUCUCGCUGUGGGUGGUGCUGCUGCUGUCAACUUGACAUGUCUCUACCUAUCAGGGAUGAAAAGGAAAUCCAUCCUCUGUCCUCUUGCAGAGGCCACAGCAAGACCAGCGGAGCUACACCAACUUAGACACAUGCAAUGCCACAAUGACGUGUGAAAACAGACACUGUCAUGCCAAGAUAUAGCCCAUAAGAAAACCUCCUACCUCUUGUUUCCCUCAGUCCCACUCCUUGCUGUAAACACUGAGCUUUCAUCCCUGUCCAACUCGACCUGGAGAAUCACCAACCCAAGCUGCCUGUUGCCAAGGAGACGAGCAGGUUUAUUUUGGCGGCCCAGAUGAGAAAAACUCACAGCGACACAGUACCAGACAUAACAAUAACACUAAGAUAGUGAAGACGAUGGCAACAUUUCAGCUUUCCAAUUGCCACGGUUCCUUGCUGGAUUCGUCUCCUGUUAGAUGUCCUGCUCACUUCAAGCCAUGAACUAUUAUAGGACCUUGGUCUUCAAACAACAUGCUAAAUUUACUUCUACCUGAGAAGAGGUCUUUGGACCACUGAGCAACAGUCCAGGUGCGGUUGAGUCCCUAGAACAUAAGAGCACUCCUGCAGGAACAAGGGACUUCUUUGUACUGCCUACUGGUUUGUCGUAGAGUUGGCGUUGAAAUUUAAUUUUAUGAUUCAGAUUGAAAAAUAGUGGAAGCCAAGCAGUAACUUCUCCAAAGCUGCAGAAUGGAGUGGCGUUGCACUUUAGGACCGUUUCCUUCGUUAGAUAUUUGUAAAACUCACUCUGUAUUCUCUCUCUUCUAAAGUUGUCUAAAUUGAUGUCAAUUUUUGACUAUGAUUUUAUUUAU